rnacentral:rRNA from 1 species
ACAAUGAAGAGUUUGAUCCUGGCUCAGGAUGAACGCUAGCUACAGGCUUAACACAUGCAAGUCGAGGGGCAGCAUGGUCUUAGCUUGCUAAGGCCGAU